rnacentral:rRNA from 1 species
UACGGGGGGAGCAAGCGUUGUUCGGAUUUACUGGGCGUAAAGGGCGCGUAGGCGGUCGUGACAAGUCAGUUGUGAAAUCUCCGGGCUUAACUCGGAAAGGUCAACUGAUACUGUGCGACUAGAGUGCAGAAGGGGCAACUGGAAUUCUCGGUGUAGCGGUGAAAUGCGUAGAUAUCGAGAGGAACACCUGCGGCGAAGGCGGGUUGCUGGGCUGACACUGACGCUGAUGCGCGAAAGCCAGGGGAGCGAACGGG